AUGGUAAGGUUCUGGAUCCACUCCCGUGCUGCCCACAGGUCCAGAGGCCCACAGGUCCAGCCUAUAUGUGACUGUAACCCUGAUAUGGUAAGGUUCUGGAUCCACUCCCGUGCUGCCCACAGGUCCAGAGGCCCACAGGUCCAGCCUAUAUGUGACUGUAACCCUGAUAUGGUAAGGUUCUGGAUCCACUCCCGUGCUGCCCACAGGUCCAGAGGCCCACAGGUCCAGCCUAUAUGUGACUGUAACCCUGAUAUGGUAAGGUUCUGGAUCCACUCCCGUGCUGCCCACAGGUCCAGAGGCCCACAGGUCCAGCCUAUAUGUGACUGUAACCCUGAUAUGGUAAGGUUCUGGAUCCACUCCCGUGCUGCCCACAGGUCCAGAGGCCCACAGGUCCAGCCUAUAUGUGACUGUAACCCUGAUAUGGUAAGGUGAGUGAUGGGGUGCUCCUGGAAGUGGGUUAUGAGUUCCGUUUGUAGGUGUGCCCUUUUAAUGUUAUACAGGUGUUGUUUGAGUCUGGUUUCUAUGGUGUGUUUGGUUUCUCCAAUGUAUUGUUUAUUGCAAAGUGUACAUGUAAUUAUAUAAAUGGUGUUUAUGUGUGUUCAAUGAAUAGGAUUCUGUACUGUGCUGAUGUGUGGCUGUGUAUAUUUGUAAUGACCUUUAUCUGUCGAAAAUGAAAUUAUGAGGUUUGAGGUCUUGUGGUGGCUUACUACUGAUCUUGCUUUGGUGAGAGGUCCUUUAAGUGUUUGUUCUUUCUAAAUGCUGAAAUAAUUCUGUAUGGUUUGAGUGGUAUGUAAGUGUGCUGAACUGUAGAGAAGUUGUGUUUGAUUGAUUGAUGUAGGGGUCUAAUUCUAUGUGAAAAUGUGGUUACUAGGGGGAUGAUAAUUGUC
rnacentral:lncRNA from 1 species